GUAGGUGGCAAGCGUUGUCCGGAAUUAUUGGGCGUAAAGCGCGCGCAGGCGGUUCUUUAAGUCUGAUGUGAAAGCCCACGGCUCAACCGUGGAGGGUCAUUGGAAACUGGAGAACUUGAGUACAGAAGAGGAAAGCGGAAUUCCACGUGUAGCGGUGAAAUGCGUAGAGAUGUGGAGGAACACCAGUGGCGAAGGCGGCUUUCUGGUCUGUAACUGACGCUGAGGCGCGAAAGCGUGGGGAGCAAACAGGGAUUAGAUACCCUGGUAGUCCACGCCGUAAACGAUGAGUGCUAAGUGUUAAGGGGUUUCCGCCCCCUUAGUGCUGCAGCUAACGCAUUAAGCACUCCGCCUGGGGAUACGGCCGCAAGGCUG
rnacentral:rRNA from 1 species